rnacentral:rRNA from 1 species
AUGUCGGCGGACGAAAGGGUGCUGGUGCUUGAGGUUGGCAAGAACGGCAGGCACAAGAGGCUCGAGCAGCUCCGGCUCGUUGAGCCGACAAAGGAACCGCAGUGUGACGCCGCGGAUGUACUCAUUGGGGUGUUGGAGGUUGUUGCGGAGGAUGUGGGAGAUGAGGAUCAUCUCCGGGCUGACCUUGCCGGAGGCUCCGUCCCGUUUGUCGACGACCUCGAGGUAGAGGAGGAGGAGCCUUUGGAUGACGUGUUCCUCGGAGGGGACAACGUAGCGGACGACGGUGGCAAGGAGGUGCGGGAUCGUGUAGCCGUUGAGGAGGAGCAUGAUGGCGCGCUUCAGGGCGUCGACCUUGGCGCCGACGUCGCUACCCUCGAGGUCCGCCUUGAUCUUCUCGGCCGUGGAGAGGCAGCUCUUAUCCAAGGGCACCAGAAAGGUGCACCGGGACUCCUCGCUCAUGGUCGGCGGCCGCUGGGCCGGAUCCAGAUCUGA